rnacentral:rRNA from 1 species
AUUGAACGCUGGCGGCAGGCUUAACACAUGCAAGUCGAGCGGGGUGAUGGUGCUUGCACUAUCACUUAGCGGCGGACGGGUGAGUAAUGCUUAGGAAUCUGCCUAUUAGUGGGGGACAACAUCUCGAAAGGGAUGCUAAUACCGCAUACGUCCUACGGGAGAAAGCAGGGGAUCACUUGUGACCUUGCGCUAAUAGAUGAGCCUAAGUCGGAUUAGCUAGUUGGGGGGGUAAAGGCCUACCAAGGCGACGAUCUGUAGCGGGUCUGAGAGGAUGAUCAGCCAAACUGGGAUUGAGAGACGGACCAGAGUCCUACGGGAGGCGGCAGUGGGGAAUAUUGGAAGAUGGGGGGAACCCUGAUCCAGCCAUGCCGCGUGUGUGAAGAAGGCCUUAUGGUUGUAAAGCACUUUAAGCGAGGAGGAGGCUCUUUUGGUUAAUACCCAAGAUGAGUGGACGUUACUCGCAGAAUAAGCACCGGCUAACUCUGUGCCAGCCGCCGCCGUAAGAC